rnacentral:ncRNA from 1 species
UACGAGAGACAUAAGAGUGCACGGUGGAUGCCUUGGCCUAGGACGGCGAAGAAGGACGUGACUAACCUGCGAAAUGCUUCGGGGAGGCGGUUUGUGGCCUUUGAUCCGAAGAUGUCCGAAUGGGGAAACCCGCUCUGUCUUGAACAGAGAAUCCGUGGGGUAACGCCCGCGCGAAGCGAACCCGGGGAAGUGAAACAUCUCAGUACCCGGAGGAAAAGAGAACAAUACGAGUUGCGUUCCGUUUGCGCGUAUGUUCGUGCAAAUGGAAUGCAACUCUCGUGAUACCCCGAGUAGCGGCGAGCGAAAAGGGAAAAGCCCAAACUUCUUUCUUUGGAAAGGAGGGUUGUAAGAUGUGAACAUCGUACUUGUACGAGAAGAGUUAUCAAUCGUCUUUAUAGCGGAAGCUGCUGGGAAGCAGCGCCCCAGAGGGUAAUGGCCCCGUACGCGAAAUAAAUGACGACUCUUGUUCAUAUUCUUGAGUAGCUCGAGACACGAGUAGCUCGAGUGAAUCUGCCGGAACUAACCGGUAAGGCUAAAUACGUCCUAUGACCGAUAGCGAACUAGUACCGUGAGGGAAAGGUGAAAAGCACCCCGAGAGGGGAGUGAAAUAGAACUGAAACCGUGCACUUACAAGGGGUCGAAGCGGGUGCUUGCAUCCGUGACGGCAUGCCUAUUGAAGAAUGAGCCGGCGAGUGUGUAUAUCUUGCGUAGCUAAGCCCUUCCGGGGCGGAGCUUUAGGGAAACCGAGUGUGAAUAGCGCGUCCGCCAACCGGCGGAGUAGGAUAUAUACGACCCGAAGCCAGGUGAGCUUGCCAUGAGCAGGGUGAAGUUUGUCGAAAGACAGAUGGAGGCCCGAACCCGUAGGUCGUA